rnacentral:rRNA from 1 species
UGUGACCUCAAAUCAGGUAGGACUACCCGCUGAACUUAAGCAUAUCAAUAAGCGGAGGAAAAGAAACUAACAAGGAUUCCCCUAGUAACUGCGAGUGAAGCGGGAAAAGCUCAAAUUUAAAAUCUGGCGGUCUUUUGGCUGUCCGAGUUGUAAUCUAGAGAAGUGUUAUCCGCGCUGGACCGUGUACAAGUCUCCUGGAAUGGAGCAUCAUAGAGGGUGAGAAUCCCGUCUUUGACAUGGACUGCCAGGGCUUUGUGAUGCGCUCUCAAAGAGUCGAGUUGUUUGGGAAUGCAGCUCAAAAUGGGUGGUAAAUUCCAUCUAAAGCUAAAUAUUGGCGAGAGACCGAUAGCGAACAAGUACCGUGAGGGAAAGAUGAAAAGAACUUUGGAAAGAGAGUUAAACAGUACGUGAAAUUGCUGAAAGGGAAACGCUUGAAGUCAGUCGCGUCAUCCAGGGAUCAACCUUGCUUUUGCUUGGCGCACUUCCUGGUUUGAUGGGUCAGCAUCAAUUUUGACCGUUGGAAAAAGGCUGAGGGAAUGUGGCAUCUUUGGAUGUGUUAUA